AUAUUUGGGUAUCAAACUUUAUUUUAAUAUUCAGAAUAUAUUGCACCGAAACUAUGAAGACUUAUAUACUACAACCCAUAAACAAUUGACUAAGUGGGGCAAAAUCGAAAUUUCAUGGUUGGGGCGAUUGAAUAUAGUGAAUGCAUAUUCUAUUCCGAAAUUGCUAUUUUUAUUCAGGUCUUUACCCUUUAAACUAGGCAAAUAUAGGAUCCUACAAUUCCAAAGAUUAUUUUCUAACUUUGUUUGGGGUAAUAAACUACCGUGAAUAUUCCAAUUGGUAGCCGGUUUGUUGGAUGAAUUAAAAAAAACUGAAAAUUAAGUUUAACCUCUUGGAUUCUAUACUAAUACAAGCCCCAAUAGAAAUUCUUCAGUAUAACAUGAUCGAUAUGGACAUGUACAAUUGGAAGUUAAAGGGGAUAAACAAAAUUGCAGACUUAUAUGAAAAUAAUAUAUUGAAUAGUUUUCUGGGUUUACAAACUAUAUAUAAUAUACCCUCUAGUGACAUUUGUCGGUAUUUAAGGAUUAAACACUAUCUAAAUUCAAAAUUUUUAGGAUAUUUAGAUAGAGUAGGAACUAAGGGCUUAAUAACCAGAUUUUCCAAAUUAUUGGAAGAUGAGGCAGGUAAAAUUGCACCAAUAGUGAAAUGGGAG